AUGAACGCUGGCGGCGUGCUUAACACAUGCAAGUCGAACGAAGCACUUUAUUUGAUUUCCUUCGGGACUGAUUAUUUUGUGACUGAGUGGCGGACGGGUGAGUAACGCGUGGGUAACCUGCCUUGUACAGGGGGAUAACAGUUGGAAACGGCUGCUAAUACCGCAUAAGCGCACAGCAUCGCAUGAUGCAGUGUGAAAAACUCCGGUGGUAUAAGAUGGACCCGCGUUGGAUUAGCUAGUUGGUGAGGUAACGGCUCACCAAGGCGACGAUCCAUAGCCGACCUGAGAGGGUGACCGGCCACAGUGGGACUGAGACACGGCCCAAACUCCUACGGGAGGCAGCAGUGGGGAAUAUUGCACAAUGGGCGAAAGCCUGAUGCAGCGACGCCGCGUGAGCGAAGAAGUAUUUCGGUAUGUAAAGCUCUAUCAGCAGGGAAGAUAAUGACGGUACCUGACUAAGAAGCACCGGCUAAAUACGUG
rnacentral:rRNA from 1 species